rnacentral:rRNA from 1 species
UGCGUGCCGCUGCUUACCAUGCAGUCGAGCGGUAAGGCCCUUCGGGGUACACGAGCGGCGAACGGGUGAGUAACACGUGAGCAACCUGCCCCUGACUCCGGGAUAAGCGGUGGAAACGCCGUCUAAUACCGGAUACGACCCGCCAUCUCAUGGUGGUGGGUGGAAAGUUUUCUCGGUUGGGGAUGGGCUCGCGGCCUAUCAGCUUGUUGGUGGGGUAACGGCCUACCAAGGCGAUUACGGGUAGCCGGCCUGAGAGGGCGACCGGCCACACUGGGACUGAGACACGGCCCAGACUCCUGCGGGAGGCAGCAGUGGGGAAUAUUGCGCAAUGGGCGAAAGCCUGACGCAGCGACGCCGCGUGGGGGAUGACGGCCUUCGGGUUGUAAACCUCUUUUACCACCAACGCAGGCUCCCAGUUCUCUGGGGGUUGACGGUAGGUGGGGAAUAAGGACCGGCUAACUACGUGCCAGCAGCCGCGGUAAUACGUAGGGUCCGAGCGUUGUCCGGAAUUAUUGGGCGUAAAGAGCUCGUAGGCGGCGUGUCGCGUCUGCUGUGAAAGACCGGGGCUUAACCCCGGUUCUGCAGUGGAUACGGGCAUGCUAGAGGUAGGUAGGGGAGACUGGAAUUCCUGGUGUAGCGGUGAAAUGCGCAGAUAUCAGGAGGAACACCGGUGGCGAAGGCGGGUCUCUGGGCCUUACCUGACGCUGAGGAGCGAAAGCAUGGGGAGCGAACAGGAUUAGAUACCCUGGUAGUCCAUGCCGUAAACGUUGGGCGCUAGGUGUGGGGACUUUCCACGGUUUCCGCGCCGUAGCUAACGCAUUAAGCGCCCCGCCUGGGGAGUACGGCCGCAAGGCUAAAACUCAAAGGAAUUUGACGGGGGCCCGCACAAGCGGCGGAGCAUGUUGCUUUAUUUCGACGCAACGCGAAGACCCUU